UACGAAGGGGGCUAGCGUUGUUCGGAAUUACUGGGCGUAAAGGGCGCGUAGGCGGUGUGUCAAGUCAGGCGUGAAAGCCCCGGGCUCAAGCUGGGAACCGCGCUUGAGACUGGCACGCUAGAGUUCGGGAGAGGAUGGUGGAAUUCCCAGUGUAGAGGUGAAAUUCGUAGAUAUUGGGAAGAACACCGAUGGCGAAGGCAGCCAUCUGGACCGACACUGACGCUGAGGCGCGAAAGCGUGGGGAGCAAACAGG
rnacentral:rRNA from 1 species